rnacentral:lncRNA from 1 species
GUAAUAGUAGAGAGGAUAGAGAGACAACAGAAGAAAGGAGGAGAGAGGUAACAGAAGAGAGGAGAGAGAGAGACAACAGAAGAGAGGAGGAGAGAGGUAAUAGUAGAGAGGAUAGAGAGAUAACAGAAGAAAGGAGGAGAGAGGUAACAGAAGAGAGGAGAGAGAGAUAACAGAAGAGAGGAGAAGAGAGGAGAGAGAGGUAACAGAAGAGAGGAGAGAGAGAUAACAGAAGAGAGGAGAGAGAGAUAACAGAAGAGAGGAGAAGAGAGUAUGUUUCUAGUCGUAGUUAGCUUGUUGGUGACCUCCUUCCAAAUACUUUUUGCACAUGUAAGGAAGUUAAAACGUAUUUUUUUCCCCCAGACACAGACUAUUUGCUUCCCAAAUGGCACCCUUUUCCCUAUGUAGUACACUUGUUUUGACCGGGACCAUACGGCUCCUGUCAAACGUAGUGCACUGUGUAGAGAAUACGAUGCCAUUUUGGGAGCGUGGAAACUGUCCCCCUCUGCUCAUUCUCUUUGACUUUUCUCCUCCCGUGUUAACAUAUCCAGUGGUUUACUGUGCUCCUCCCAUAUCCAGUGGUUUACUGUGCUCCUCCCAUAUCCAGUGGUUUACUGUGCUCCUCCCAUAUCCUGUGGUUUACUGUGCUCCUCCCAUAUCCAGUGGUUUACUGUGCUCCUCCCAUAUCCAGUGGUUUACUGUGCUCCUCCCAUAUCCAGUGGUUUACUGUGCUCCUCCCAUAUCCAGUGGUUUACUGUGCUCCUCCCAUAUCCAGUGGUUUACUGUGCUCCUCCCAUAUCCUGUGGUUUACUGUGCUCCUCCCAUAUCCAGUGGUUUACUGUGCUCCUCCCAUAUCCAGUGGUUUACUGUGCUCCUCCCAUAUCCAGUGGUUUACUGUGCUCCUCCCAUAUCCAGUGGUUUACUGUGCUCCUCCCAUAUCCAGUGGUUUACUGUGCUCCUCCCUCCCAUGUUAACAUGUCCAGUGGUCUCAAGCCUACAGUAGACAGAGGGGUGUUCGACUCUGGUGAGAUAUAAUGGGUGAUGAUUUCGAUGCAAGGUGAUCGAUAAAUUAUAAUGCGAUUUUUUUUGAGCGCUUGGAACAUUAUUGAAUAUAUUUUCUGUCCUAGUUUUUUGUCCGUAACUCACGUUGAAUUCCCCACAUUCUGAAAUUCUUUAUUUAGAAAACAUUUAUAGAAUUGUUUUUUCCCCCGGUGUAAGAAAUUAAUAUCUACUUUAUUUGAAUUCAUUAAUUAAUGAAUUAAUUAGAUAUUACAUAUAACAGAUUCAGAUAAAUAUUCCUUUCCUGUCUAAGCCACGUUCCCUGUAACAGAUCCUGUAGAGGCUGAUGGCAACAUAGUUGGGUCCCUUUUUUUAUAUUGUAUUUCUAUGUUUUCCAUCUAUCAGUUUUCCAGAGACCUUGUGAAACACGCAGCGUACUCAUAUCAGUAGGACAAUGACUGUCUGCGGGAGCAGCUACCAGUAGAGCCCUCAAAAACCGGUAGAGGAGACAGGACUGGCCCCUCCUGCACCUCGCUGGCAGAACAUGUUAUUGGACCCCCUCUUGGUUGGGGGGGGGGGCCCCUUACCGGCCUCGGGCCCUAAGCAUCUGCUUGUAUGUCUCUUAUUGGCUGGCAAGACAGAUCAGACAUGCAGGACGGAGGUUUUUGCUGUCGACCAAAGGGUUUUGAGAGAAACAAAGGAGUGUACAAAACAUGGACUUAAACAGAAACUGUCAAGAGGAAAAACUGGAAAGCUAAGCAACCUCUGGAAAAAGAGUACAAAGUUAAAGAACAAACAAAACGGUUUUUUUUUUGUACAGAGAUAUAUUUUUAUGGAAAUACAUUUGUAAUAUGAAAAGAGGAGAAAUGGAUUGACAUAUGUGUAAAUGUUUUUUUUUCUUUGUUAUUGUAGUACAGAUUCUAGUGGGGAAUAUACAAAAACAAAUC